AACCCAUUUUCCAAAGGGGGACAAAAAAAUCGUUUGCAAUUUCUUGAUUCUUUGGUUGUAGUAACGAUGUUCCUUUAAAGUUUCUAUCCCAUCAGCUUUAGAUGGUAGUGUGUUGGAAUACCAUGGCAGUAACGGGUAACGAAAAAUCGGCCAACGAUUUAGGAGAGGGACCCUGAGAGAUGGCUACCUCAUCCAAGGAAGGCAGCAGGCGGGUUUAUUACCCAAUCAUGACGCAGGGAGGUAGUGACAAUAAAUCUCAAUUAGAACCCUCAGGUUUUGUAACAGAAAUGAGAACAAUGUACAAUCGUUAUCGAUAAACAAUUGGAGGGCAAGUGUGGUCCCAGCAGCCGCGGUAACUCCAGCUCCAAUAGCGUAUAUUAACGUUGUUGCAGUUAAAAA
rnacentral:rRNA from 1 species